GACGAACGCUGGCGGCGUGCUUAACACAUGCAAGUCGAACGGAAAGGCCCUGCUUGCAGGGUACUCGAGUGGCGAACGGGUGAGUAACACGUGGGUGAUCUGCCCUGCACUUCGGGAUAAGCCUGGGAAACUGGGUCUAAUACCGGAUAGGAGCCAUUUUUAGUGUGAUGGUUGGAAAGUUUUUUCGGUGUAGGAUGAGCUCGCGGCCUAUCUGCUUGUUGGUGGGGUAAUGGCCUACCAAGGCGGCGACGGGUAGCCGGCCUGAGAGGGUGGACGGCCACAUUGGGACUGAGAUACGGCCCAGACUCCUACGGGAGGCAGCAGUGGGGAAUAUUGCACAAUGGGCGCAAGCCUGAUGCAGCGACGCCGCGUGGGUGAUGACGGCCUUCGGGUUGUAAACUCCUUUCGCUAGGGACGAAGCUUUUUGUGACGGUACCUAGAUAAGAAGCACCGGCUAACUACGUG
rnacentral:rRNA from 1 species